GACGAACGCUGGCGGCAUGCCUAAUACAUGCAAGUAGGACGAGUUGCGAACGGGAGAGUAACGAAUGGUAACCUGCCUAUGAGAGGGGGAUAACAAUUGGAGACGAUAGCUAAUAACGCAUCCUAGUAGAUGGACCUGCGUUGUAGUAGCUAGUAGGUAGGGUAAUGGCCUACCUAGGCGACGAUACAUGGCCGACCUGAGAGGAUGACCAGCCACACUGGAACUGAGACACGGUCCAGACUCCUACGGGAGGCAGCAGUGGGGAAUAUUGCACAAUGGGCGCAAGCCUGAUGCAGCCAUGCCGCGUGUAUGAAGAAGGCCUUCGGGUUGUAAAGUACUUUCAGCGGGGAGGCGUUACCCGCAGAAGAAGCACCGGCUAACUCCGUGCCAGCAGCCGCGGUAAUUC
rnacentral:rRNA from 1 species